rnacentral:lncRNA from 1 species
ACGGGUAGGGGACAAGCAAUCGGGUUUUUUUGGGGUAGAUUUUAUAUAUAGACGCAGAGCAUAGGGAGACGGACUGAGCUGAUAAGCGUCGGACUUGUUUGGAAGGCCUAGAUUUUUUGCAUGGAUGCAGAAAAUGGGAUGGCGGACAUGGAGAACUAAGUUUUGGCUUCAAAAAAAUGAAAUUGGAGAAACCGGGACUUUGAAAACAUAGAAGAAGUGGUAGAAGGUUGCCCAUGCUUGAGCGAGGGAAGCUCGCCACCAAGUAGCUCGGCGGGCUUUUUCGACACAUAAUAUGCAUUUUUAUCAUGUUUUGACUAUAUAUUGUACCAUGAACCUUUUAAACCUAACUUUUACUUACAAUUCCGAAUCCGGCGGAGGAACUUCGCCCAUGCCCCCCACCAAGGCUAUCGCCCACCCGUUUUUUGGCCAUUUUUCCGCUGGGGGGUCUUGGCGCCCCGACCUUCGGGGGCUGAUUUUUGGGCGCGGCUGUUCCCGUGGCCUAUUUUUGGCACACGGAGGCCGCCCGCAAAGUCUGGGGCCUUUCCGAGUCCGGCGGACGAACUUCGCCCACGCCCGCCACCAAGGCUAUAGCCCACCCGUUUUUUAGCCAUUUUUCCGCAGUGGGGUCUUGGUGCCCCGACCUUCGGGGGCUGAUUUUUGGGCGCCGCUGUGCCCGUGGCCUAUUUUUGGCACACGGAGGCCGCCCGCAAAGUCUGGGGCCAUUCCGAGUCCGGCGGACGAACUUCGCCCACGCCCCCCACCAAGGCUAUAGCCCACCCGUUUUUGGCCAUUUUCC